CCUACGGGAGGCAGCAGUGGGGAAUUUUGGACAAUGGGCGCAAGCCUGAUCCAGCAAUGCCGCGUGCAGGAUGAAGGCCUUCGGGUUGUAAACUGCUUUUGUACGGAACGAAACGGUCUGCCCUAAUACGGUGGGCUAAUGACGGUACCGUAAGAAUAAGCACCGGCUAACUACGUGCCAGCAGCCGCGGUAAUACGUAGGGUGCGAGCGUUAAUCGGAAUUACUGGGCGUAAAGCGUGCGCAGGCGGUUAUAUAAGACAGAUGUGAAAUCCCCGGGCUCAACCUGGGACCUGCAUUUGUGACUGUAUAGCUAGAGUACGGUAGAGGGGGAUGGAAUUCCGCGUGUAGCAGUGAAAUGCGUAGAUAUGCGGAGGAACACCGAUGGCGAAGGCAAUCCCCUGGACCUGUACUGACGCUCAUGCACGAAAGCGUGGGGAGCAAACAGGAUUAGAUACCCUGGUAGUCCACGCCCUAAACGAUGUCAACUGGUUGUUGGGUCUUCACUGACUCAGUAACGAAGCUAACGCGUGAAGUUGACCGCCUGGGGAGGACGGUCCGGCGAGUUAGAACGUACGAAAGAAAGUUAGAGGCGNGAGAGNGCCGACGGACGACGACGAGGGAGGAGG
rnacentral:rRNA from 1 species